CGUAACCCGAGGUCUUCCUCCUCCGCGCGUUCGCUACGACGUGCAUUUGUUUCCAAUUUCAACGGUUUCGAAUUAUCAUUGAUUGCAUAACUGAAUUCCUCAAUCGAUGCAUACGCGUAUCAUGAAUUACCUCUGCAUACACUGAUAUGUGAAUUAGAUGGUAUAAGAGAUGUGAAAUUAAUUGAAAUCAGAAUCACCAUCUUACGUAUCUUCGUUGUGAUAAUUUAUCGACAAAUCAACGCUACGUUUGUGUAUCAUCCGGUCUUGGAAUUGUACAGAAAAGAAAAAAAAAUAAAAAAAAAUAAAAUAAAAAAAAAAAGAACAAGGAUAAAAAAAAAGAAAAUAAAAAUGACGCCAUGACUACGCACCGAUGAACGAUGUGUCGUUAAUAUUCAUAGAAACAGAAUGCGAAAAAUCAUUCUAGCGAAUGGAUGGAUGGUUGGUCAGUUUCUUGAAAUCAUACAAUGAUUUCUCCCUAUAAUAUACUGAGAAAUAAUUGGCGGACCUGUUAAUGGACUGGAAAAAAACUGGCUGUCGCUAUGCAGAAAUCAAGAACUGUAAGUAUGUGGCUCGCGGCAUUUCAUCGUCGACUCGCAAUCGCAGAGAGUGAACGGGGCUUACGUACGGCCAUGACCUCGUCCGACUACCGUGCCUCCUCAGUGUCUGUCUGUCUGGGUAGACACCGUUUUCUGUGCCUUCUUGUCUGCCUACCUGCCUGUCUACCUACCUGCCUACCUACCCACCCUACAACAAAAGCCUAUUUGCGACCUUCUCCAAGUGUCCAAUUCAUCAAAGUAACUGUCGAACCGCCCCUACUGCAACAAAAUUUCCAGAAAACGAAAUACAGCCGACCCGAGCCUUCGAUGAGCCGAUAACUCAUUUCUAAGAAUCGUACACGACGCUUCGAAUAUUCGUAUGACAUUCAGAUGCGGAAAAUUUCAUGGAACACGUUUCGAACGACGAAAAUGAUCGAACAAAGAGAGAUGAAAAAUCUAUUGUAGAUACCCUGAUGUAUGUAUGCGUGUAUAUAUUU